AAAAAGAAAUGCAGAUUGUUGACACUACUAAUGAAGGUACUAACACCGCUAAUCCACCAACUUCCCCUCCUAGAAAAACUAGGUCAUUUGUUUGGUUGCAUUUUGAGAAAAUUAAGAACCCUGAUGGUAAAGAGACGAGUAGAGUUAGAUGUUUAUAGUAUGGUAAGAAUUACUAAGGUGGUAGUGCCAUGGGAACUUCGGGUCUUAGGAAACACUUGCGAGUAACCUGUAAAAAAUUUCCUCAUAAACAACAGUUGAUUGAUGCAGAAAAUAAGAAGGACAAAUCACAAAAGAUUCUAACAUUCUUAAAGUCCAUAAAUAUAGAAAGUCCUAAGAUUGGAGCUUGGUAUUUUGAUCAAGAAGCUUGUAGCAAAGCAUUAGUUCGAAUGAUAAUUAAUGAUGAAUUACCCUUUAGAUUUGUGGAAAGGGAAGGG
rnacentral:lncRNA from 1 species